AUUUUCACUAGCCAUAAUGCAAUGUCAGUAAUUCCGUCAAGUUGAUUGCUAUAGUUUGGUUGUCAAAUCUUCGUUACAUCUCGAAUAUUACCACAAAAAUUUUUCGUUUUAUGUUACUGUGUACUUGUCUCAAGAUCAGGUAACGUCUAAGUAUCCUGCAAUUCCAUCGAUGUGACAUUUUCAUCUUAUGAAAACAUGGAUUACGUGAGUGACAAUUGCGUCGAAUUCACUAAUAAUCCAAUAUUUCAAAUUGUUGCUUUCAACGUUAUCAUUGGCUUUAUCGUUUGGCGCAACAUGCAAGGAGAAGGAGGUGAUGCAGGGGGAGGGGGUGGUGCUGAAGGAGGAGCAGAAGGAUGAAUUUUCAAAUUAGGAAUACAUACUAAUAUAAAUUUAUUUUAAAUGAAUUAUUUAUAUUACGAUUUUAUUGGUAAUGAAAAAUCCAUAAUUGAA